GACCAGGCUCCGAGCAGGGGAAGAUGCCCCAGCACCUGGGACAAUUAAGUGCUGUAAGCAGGGACUAGGGAGCUGGAGAGAGAUCCUGGCAGGCUGCUGGGGCUUGCAGGCUGAGUCCCUGAGGUCCAGAUCCGCACAAGCCUACCUUUCCUGGUAGAACAUUUGAUGAUCAUCAUAAUGGCAAGAUUUACUUUGGGAAAGCUUUAUAAUGCGCGACCAUGAAAAGGCUCAACGAUAAGAUGCCAUUUUGUAUUGAGUCACCACAAAUGAUAGAGAAAGAGGUGCCUCAGAGGAAGACUAGUGAAACCAGAACAUUAGCAGCAAACCAUCCAUGGCACUGCAGGAGUUUUGCUUUGUUCUGCUGUGAUUACUUCACCUACAGCUGCCAAUGGGAGCUGCAAGGGAUGGUGCCUGCAGAGCCGCCUGACUGCACUUCCCCUCUGCCAGCAACAGCAAGGACAGGGAGCCGUUUGUGAGGAGAUGAGCUGCCUGAGAUCCUUGGAUGCUCCUCAGAUUUCUACCCACAUAUGCCAUGUAUAUUAUAAUUCAUAAUGAUAAAAAUAUUUGUAAUUUACCUAUAUAAGCAUGCCUUUUCUAACACGUAAUAGAUGCCAAAUCUAACAAAAGUAUAUUAUUUUCUUUUACAUUUAAAAAACAAAAAGAGAAGGAUAUGCCCAUAAAAAUGUUA